UUGGAAUUUAUUGAUCUGCAUAUUGUUGUUUCCUCUGUAGAAAUGUAGGUGUAUGACGCACUGGAGCUCGCUGGACGUCCCCCCACCUUCCUGGCCCCCCAGAAUGUUUCUCUGCUUGCUGUCUCUCGCACUUCUAACUGGAGGUUCCAAAGCUGAAGUCAUUCCUUGUAAGGAGCCUAAUGUUACCUUGUUAUUUGUGGUCACUUGGUAACCCCACAUACACACAGAUAUCUUACUGCCCCAAAGAAGUAGGGUACAUACAGGAGAAAAUUCACAUUCCCAAUACAAAGGAUAAUUUUAGAAGAAACAAAAAAGAACAAGUUACAUACAUACAUAUCAGACAGAUGGACAGACAGAACAGGAAGACAAAAAAGACAAGGAAAAGGCAGACGGAUACAAGCAAUGCAGGAAGAUAGACAGAUAAUAAACACAGACAAAGUUGGCAGACAGACACAGCAAGCAGACAGAGAGACACAGACAUAUCAGGCAGUCAUAGCAACAUGUAUACUGUAGGCACACAGACAGAGCAUGCAGACAGUCAGAGUGAUAGACAAAGCAGGCAGUCAGAGCGACGCAAACAAAAGAAGCAGACAGACACAGACAAAUCAGGGAGAAACGAUGCAGACAGGGAGAUACAAAUAGAUCAGACAGUCGGUCGGAGCAACACAGGCAAAGUAGACAGUCACAAUGCAGGCAGACAGAGAUGGACAGACAAGACAGGUAAAUUGAUAGUAACAGACAUAGCAGAUAGAAACACAGGCACACACACAGAGAUGUUUUCUGGCCUUUCUGUUACAAACCGGGCUCCCUAUAAAAAUGUACAUACAAAUAACCUUGCGUUGCUCCAAAAAAACUCUCUCUUUAAUAAUUGCCCAUCCUUGUACCUUCAGCAAUAUGUCGAUACGCUCUGGGAAUGCACGACAGGACAAUACGCGAUGAGGAUAUUACUGCAUCCAGUCAAUGGUAUGAGUCAACUGGACCGCAGUACGCAAGGUAUAAUAGCAUGCGGUAAACAAACAGAUUGUUGUCAAAGAAUGGGAAAUUCAUUCUCAUAUGAGCAGAUUCAAUCCUUGGUCUAAUCUUUCCUUCUGUGUUGUGUCUGUGUGUGUACAUAUUAAUGUAUUUAUAAUAUAUGUCUGUAUGUAUGUAUAUUUAAGGCCCGCGUGUGCCAUAGUCCUGCUAUGUAUUCACUGAAGCUGUAGGUGACUGGUAUCACCCAGAACUGUUAUAAUGUUAAUAACGCUGGAUACAAUGUAUUUGUGGUAAUAUUCUGUUUCCACAGACUGCAAAGGGAGGAAGGCGAUGGAGCAUGGUGCCCAGCUGGUCUGCUACAGCCAGAGGACGUGCAAUUCCUGCAGAUCGAUCUCCACAAGCUAUUCUUUGUCACACUUAUUGGAACCCAAGGACGUCACGCAAGGGCCACCGGCAAGGAAUUUGCCCGGUCCUACAGAGUAGACUAUAGUCGAAAUGGAGAGCAGUGGCUUUCUUGGAAGGACCACCAAGGCCACCAGGU